GAUUCUGGCUCAGGAUGAACGCUGGCGGCGUGCUUACCACAUGCAAGUCGAACGGAGUUAUCAUUUUUGAAGCGAUUAGCUUGCUAAGAGUGGAAAUGUUGAUAACUUAGUGGCGGACGGGUGAGUAACGCGUGGGUAACCUGCCUUGCACUGGGGGAUAACACUUAGAAAUAGGUGCUAAUACCGCAUAAGCGCACGAGGCCGCAUGGUCAAGUGUGAAAAACUGAGGUGGUGCAAGAUGGGCCCGCGUCUGAUUAGCUAGUUGGCGGGGUAGAGGCCCACCAAGGCGACGAUCAGUAGCCGGCCUGAGAGGGUGGACGGCCACAUUGGGACUGAGACACGGCCCAAACUCCUACGGGAGGCAGCAGUGGGGGAUAUUGGACAAUGGGGGGGACCCUGAUCCAGCGACGCCGCGUGAGUGAAGAAGUAUUUCGGUAUGUAAAGCUCUGUCAGCAGGGAAGAAAGAAAUGACGGUACCUGACCAAGAAGCCCCGGCUAACUACGUGCCAGCAGCCGCGGUAAUACGUAGGGGGCAAGCGUUAUCCGGAAUUACUGGGUGUAAAGGGAGCGUAGACGGUAGUGCAAGUCUGGAGUGAAAGGCGGGGGCCCAACCCCCGGACUGCUCUGGAAACUGUAUAACUAGAGUGCAGGAGAGGUAAGCGGAAUUCCUAGUGUAGCGGUGAAAUGCGUAGAUAUUAGGAGGAACACCAGUGGCGAAGGCGGCUUACUGGACUGUAACUGACGUUGAGGCUCGAAAGCGUGGGGAGCAAACAGGAUUAGAUACCCUGGUAGUCCACGCCGUAAACGAUGAUUACUAGGUGUCGGUGGGUAUGGACCCAUCGGUGCCGCAGCCAACGCAGUAAGUAAUCCACCUGGGGAGUACGUUCGCAAGAAUGAAACUCAAAGGAAUUGACGGGGACCCGCACAAGCGGUGGAGCAUGUGGUUUAAUCCGAAGCAACGCGAAGAACCUUACCAAGUCUUGACAUCCUCUUGAAUACAGAGUAAAGUCUGUAGGCCUUCGGGACAAGAGAGACAGGUGGUGCAUGGUUGUCGUCAGCUCGUGUCGUGAGAUGUUGGGUUAAGUCCCGCAACGAGCGCAACCCUUAUCUUUAGUAGCCAGCGAGUGAAGUCGGGCACUCUAGAGAGACUGCCGGGGAUAACCCGGAGGAAGGUGGGGAUGACGUCAAAUCAUCAUGCCCCUUAUGAUUUGGGCUACACACGUGCUACAAUGGCGUAAACAGAGGGAAGCGAGCCUGCGAGGGGGAGCAAAUCCCAAAAAUAACGUCCCAGUUCGGAUUGUAGUCUGCAACUCGACUACAUGAAGCUGGAAUCGCUAGUAAUCGCGGAUCAGAAUGCCGCGGUGAAUACGUUCCCGGGUCUUGUACACACCGCCCGUCACACCAUGGGAGUCGGAAAUGCCCGAAGUCUGUGACCCAACCGAAAGGAGGGAGCAGCCGAAGGCAGGUCGGAUGACCGGGUAAUCGUAACAAGGUACCC
rnacentral:rRNA from 1 species